rnacentral:rRNA from 1 species
GACAUAAGUAACGAUAAAGCGGGUGAAAAGCCCGCUCGCCGGAAGACCAAGGGUUCCUGUCCAACGUUAAUCGGGGCAGGGUGAGUCGACCCCUAAGGCGAGGCCGAAAGGCGUAGUCGAUGGGAAACGGGUUAAUAUUCCCGUACUUGGUGUUACUGCGAAGGGGGGACGGAGAAGGCUAUGUUGGCCGGGCGACGGUUGUCCCGGUUUAAGCGUGUAGGUGUGUGUUCCAGGUAAAUCCGGUUCACUUUAACACUGAGGCGUGACGACGAGGCACUACGGUGCUGAAGCAACAAAUGCCCUGCUUCCAGGAAAAGCCUCUAAGCAUCAGGUAACACGAAAUCGUACCCCAAACCGACACAGGUGGUCAGGUAGAGAAUACCAAGGCGCUUGAGAGAACUCGGGUGAAGGAACUAGGCAAAAUGGUGCCGUAACUUCGGGAGAAGGCACGCUGACACGUAGGUGAAGUGAUUUACUCAUGGAGCUGAAGUCAGUCGAAGAUACCAGCUGGCUGCAACUGUUUAUUAAAAACACAGCACUGUGCAAACACGAAAGUGGACGUAUACGGUGUGACGCCUGCCCGGUGCCGGAAGGUUAAUUGAUGGGGUCAGCGUAAGCGAAGCUCCUGAUCGAAGCCCCGGUAAACGGCGGCCGUAACUAUAACGGUCCUAAGGUAGCGAAAUUCCUUGUCGGGUAAGUUCCGACCUGCACGAAUGGCGUAAUGAUGGCCAGGCUGUCUCCACCCGAGACUCAGUGAAAUUGAACUCGCUGUGAAGAUGCAGUGUACCCGCGGCAAGACGGAAAGACCCCGUGAACCUUUACUAUAGCUUGACACUGAACAUUGAGCCUUGAUGUGUAGGAUAGGUGGGAGGCUUUGAAGUGUGGACGCCAGUCUGCAUGGAGCCGACCUUGAAAUACCACCCUUUAAUGUUUGAUGUUCUAACGUGGACCCGUAAUCCGGGUUGCGGACAGUGUCUGGUGGGUAGUUUGACUGGGGCGGUCUCCUCCUAAAGAGUAACGGAGGAGCACGAAGGUUGGCUAAUCCUGGUCGGACAUCAGGAGGUUAGUGCAAUGGCAUAAGCCAGCUUGACUGCGAGCGUGACGGCGCGAGCAGGUGCGAAAGCAGGUCAUAGUGAUCCGGUGGUUCUGAAUGGAAGGGCCAUCGCUCAACGGAUAAAAGGUACUCCGGGGAUAACAGGCUGAUACCGCCCAAGAGUUCAUAUCGACGGCGGUGUUUGGCACCUCGAUGUCGGCUCAUCACAUCCUGGGGCUGAAGUAGGUCCCAAGGGUAUGGCUGUUCGCCAUUUAAAGUGGUACGCGAGCUGGGUUUAGAACGUCGUGAGACAGUUCGGUCCCUAUCUGCCGUGGGCGCUGGAGAACUGAGGGGGGCUGCUCCUAGUACGAGAGGACCGGAGUGGACGCAUCACUGGUGUUCGGGUUGUCAUGCCAAUGGCACUGCCCGGUAGCUAAAUGCGGAAGAGAUAAGUGCUGAAAGCAUCUAAGCACGAAACUUGCCCCGAGAUGAGUUCUCCCUGAGACUUAGAGUCUCCUGAAGGAACGUUGAAGACGACGACGUUGAUAGGCCGGGUGUGUAAGCGCAGCGAUGCGUUGAGCUAACCGGUACUAAUGAACCGUGAGGCUUA